AAAUUGAAGAGUUUGAUCAUGGCUCAGAUUGAACGCUGGCGGCAGGCCUAACACAUGCAAGUCGAACGGUAACAGGAAGCAGCUUGCUGCUUUGCUGACGAGUGGCGGACGGGUGAGUAAUGUCUGGGAAACUGCCUGAUGGAGGGGGAUAACUACUGGAAACGGUAGCUAAUACCGCAUAACGUCGCAAGACCAAAGAGGGGGACCUUCGGGCCUCUUGCCAUCGGAUGUGCCCAGAUGGGAUUAGCUAGUAGGUGGGGUAACGGCUCACCUAGGCGACGAUCCCUAGCUGGUCUGAGAGGAUGACCAGCCACACUGGAACUGAGACACGGUCCAGACUCCUACGGGAGGCAGCAGUGGGGAAUAUUGCACAAUGGGCGCAAGCCUGAUGCAGCCAUGCCGCGUGUAUGAAGAAGGCCUUCGGGUUGUAAAGUACUUUCAGCGGGGAGGAAGGCGUUGAGGUUAAUAACCUCAGCGAUUGACGUUACCCGCAGAAGAAGCACCGGCUAACUCCGUGCCAGCAGCCGCGGUAAUACGGAGGGUGCAAGCGUUAAUCGGAAUUACUGGGCGUAAAGCGCACGCAGGCGGUCUGUCAAGUCGGAUGUGAAAUCCCCGGGCUCAACCUGGGAACUGCAUUCGAAACUGGCAGGCUAGAGUCUUGUAGAGGGGGGUAGAAUUCCAGGUGUAGCGGUGAAAUGCGUAGAGAUCUGGAGGAAUACCGGUGGCGAAGGCGGCCCCCUGGACAAAGACUGACGCUCAGGUGCGAAAGCGUGGGGAGCAAACAGGAUUAGAUACCCUGGUAGUCCACGCCGUAAACGAUGUCGACUUGGAGGUUGUGCCCUUGAGGCGUGGCUUCCGGAGCUAACGCGUUAAGUCGACCGCCUGGGGAGUACGGCCGCAAGGUUAAAACUCAAAUGAAUUGACGGGGGCCCGCACAAGCGGUGGAGCAUGUGGUUUAAUUCGAUGCAACGCGAAGAACCUUACCUACUCUUGACAUCCAGAGAACUUUCCAGAGAUGGAUUGGUGCCUUCGGGAACUCUGAGACAGGUGCUGCAUGGCUGUCGUCAGCUCGUGUUGUGAAAUGUUGGGUUAAGUCCCGCAACGAGCGCAACCCUUAUCCUUUGUUGCCAGCGGUUAGGCCGGGAACUCAAAGGAGACUGCCAGUGAUAAACUGGAGGAAGGUGGGGAUGACGUCAAGUCAUCAUGGCCCUUACGAGUAGGGCUACACACGUGCUACAAUGGCGCAUACAAAGAGAAGCGACCUCGCGAGAGCAAGCGGACCUCAUAAAGUGCGUCGUAGUCCGGAUUGGAGUCUGCAACUCGACUCCAUGAAGUCGGAAUCGCUAGUAAUCGUGGAUCAGAAUGCCACGGUGAAUACGUUCCCGGGCCUUGUACACACCGCCCGUCACACCAUGGGAGUGGGUUGCAAAAGAAGUAGGUAGCUUAACCUUCGGGAGGGCGCUUACCACUUUGUGAUUCAUGACUGGGGUGAAGUCGUAACAAGGUAACCGUAGGGGAACCUGCGGUUGGAUCACCUCCUUA
rnacentral:rRNA from 1 species